GCAUUUUUGUUCUCCUGUUUGCCUCCCAUCACGUAAUAUUAGCAUACCAACCUAAUUUUUCUCCUCUUACACACCAACUCAACAGUUAUACCGUCAAAAUGGCGGAACUUUCAUAAGGAGAUUGCAACAUUAUCAAUAACCAUCCUCUAACCAACUUAGUUGAUCGUUUAUGAGGCGCGCUUCAGGAAGCCGAAAGAAUAUAUGAGUCGCAUCUAAUUUAUGAUGGCGCUGAUGAGAGCCUUGACCAACUCUAUCAAAAUGUGAUUUCAAAACUCCUCUCUGCUUUACAGGGAGAGGAUGCAGCCUACAGCCUUUGCUCAUGGAUAAAUGAUGGAGAUGUGGCAUCUGAUCUAGCACAAUUAUUUGAGCGCCUCUGAAAGGCAAAAGGACACUUCAGAUACAACGACUACCAGCUGCUGGUGAACCUGAUUAUUCAAAGGCCUUCGACUGAAUCUCAGAACACCGAAACAUGGAACUUUGAUGUCUGAAAAGCUGUAUUUACUCUCAUUGACAUCAUUCCUCAAACAACACCAUCAGUGAGUGCUCCCCUCUCCUAUGACAGCACAUCAGUCAAAUCCACAUCAUCAUCACAGAAAGGCUCUGAGCAGACAUGUGAUUUGAUGAAUUCAAGAAUCUUUGAGAAGAUACAUAGCUGCACAUUUCAAGUCAUUAAAAGUUUCUUUGACAAAUACUUUGAGAAGAAGAACUGAAGUGGCAAAGCUGAUGUCAUCUGUCAACAUAUACUGAUUUCAGACAGCAACAGUAAUUGAGCUCAGUUUUCUGAUUCUUCUACACAGAACAAUGUUCUCAUCUGAUGAUUUCAUCUUCAAAAGAAUCUUCUCUCAGAAUUACACAGUAUCUACUAUAUCAUAAUAAACAAAGC
rnacentral:sRNA from 1 species